rnacentral:miRNA from 2 species
AGAGUAUUACAUUAGGUACU